rnacentral:rRNA from 1 species
AGCGAACGCUGGCGGCAGGCCUAACACAUGCAAGUCGAACGACCCUAUCGGGGGUAGUUGCGGUUGCGGGAGGAACAUGGCGGAAGGUUGCUGUAUGCUCGGGAUAACACAUUGUAACGGGGGCUAAUACGGAAUGAGUCCCGCGGGUGACAGAUUCAUCCCCCGUAGAUCGGCCCGUGUAUGUUUAGCCAGUUGGUUGUGGUAAUGGCUCACCAAGGUUACGAUAAUUACCUGGUCUGGGAGGAACAGCAGCGACAUUGGUACUGAGACACAGUCCAAACUACUGCGGGAGGCAGCAGUGGCGAAUCUUGCGAAAUGGGCGAAAGGCUGACGCAGCCAUGCCGCGUGAAUGCUGAAGGUCUUAAGAUAGUAAAAUUCUUUAACCGGGGACGAUAAUGACGGUACCCAAAGAAGAAGCCCCGGCUAACUUCGUG